UCCGUAGGUGAACCUGCGGACCCUUUUCUUUCUACACAUGUGUUUUUCUUUUUUUUGAAAACUUUGCUUUGGUGGGCCCACGGCCUGCCAGAGAUUAAACUCAACCAAAUUUUUUAUUAAUUGUCAACUUGAUUAACUAAUAGUCAAAACUUUCAACAACGGAUCUCUUGGUUCUCGCAUCGAUGAAGAACGCAGCGAAAUGCGAUAAGUAAUAUGAAUUGCAGAUAUUCGUGAAUCAUCGAAUCUUUGAACGCACAUUGCGCCCUUUGGUAUUCCAAAGGGCAUGCCUGUUUGAGCGUCAUUUCUCCCUCAAACCUUCGGGUUUGGUGUUGAGCGAUACGCUGGGUUUGCUUGAAAGAAAGGCGGAGUAUAAACUAAUGGAUAGGUUUUUUUCUUCCACUCAUUGGUACAAACUCCAAACAUUCUUCCAAAUUCGACCUCAAAUCAGGUAGGACUACCCGCUGAACUUAAGCAUAUCAAUAAGCGGAGGAA
rnacentral:rRNA from 1 species